UGCAACCUACCUAUCAGAGGGGAAUAACCCGGCGAAAGUCGGACUAAUACCGCAUAAAACAGGGGCACCGCAUGGUGAUAUUUGUUAAAGAAAUUCGGCUGAUAGAUGGGCAUGCGUUCCAUUAGGUAGUUGGUGAGGUAACGGCUCACCAAGCCGACGAUGGAGUAGGGAACUGAGAGGUUGGUCCCCCACACUGGUACUGAGACACGGACCAGACUCCUACGGGAGGCAGCAGUGAGGAAUAUUGGUCAAUGGGCGGGAGCCUGAACCAGCCAAGUCGCGUAGAAGGAAGAAGGAUCUAUGGUUACGUAAACUUCUUUGCGAGGGGAAUAAAGUGCGGGACGUGUCCUGUUUUGUAUGUACCCUGAGAAUAAGGAUCGGCUAACUCCGUGCCAGCAGCCGC
rnacentral:rRNA from 1 species